CAGCCCUUGACAUCCCGGUCGCGGCCUAGAGAGAUUUAGGCCUUCAGUUCGGCUGGACCGGUGACAGGUGCUGCAUGGCUGUCGUCAGCUCGUGUCGUGAGAUGUUGGGUUAAGUCCCGCAACGAGCGCAACCCUCGCCCUUAGUUGCCAUCAUUCAGUUGGGCACUCUAAGGGGACUGCCGGUGAUAAGCCGAGAGGAAGGUGGGGAUGACGUCAAGUCCUCAUGGCCCUUACGGGCUGGGCUACACACGUGCUACAAUGGUGGUGACAGUGGGCAGCGAGACCGCGAGGUCGAGCUAAUCUCCAAAAGCCAUCUCAGUUCGGAUUGCACUCUGCAACUCGAGUGCAUGAAGUUGGAAUCGCUAGUAAUCGCGGAUCAGCAUGCCGCGGUGAAUA
rnacentral:rRNA from 1 species